rnacentral:ncRNA from 1 species
GUCCCUAUCUACUAUCUAGCGAAACCACAGCCAAGGGAACGGGCUUGGAAUAAUUAGCGGGGAAAGAAGACCCUUUUGAGCUUGACUCUAAUCUGGCAGUGUAAGGAGACAUAAGAGGUGUAGAAUAAGUGGGAGAUAUUAGACCUCGGUUUGGUAUCGUCAAUGAAAUACCACUACUCUUAUUGUUUCCUUACUUACUUGAUUAAAUGGAACGUGUAUCAUUUCCUAGCCAUUAUACGGAUAUAUUUAUUAUAUCUUAUGGUAUUGGGUUUUGAUGCAAGCUUCUUGAUCAAAGUAUCACGAGUUUGUUAUAUAAUCGCAAACAAAUUCUUUAAUAAAACGAUGCAUUUAUGUAUUUUUGAUUUGAAAAUUUGGUAUAACUCCAAUUACUCAGGUAUGAUCCAAUUCAAGGACAUUGCCAGGUAGGGAGUUUGACUGGGGCGGUACAUCUCUCAAAUAAUAACGGAGGUGUCCCAAGGCCAGCUCAGUGCGGACAGAAACCACACAUAGAGCAAAAGGGCAAAUGCUGACUUGAUCUCGGUGUUCAGUACACACAGGGACAGCAAAAGCUCGGCCUAUCGAUCCUUUUGGUUUAAAGAGUUUUUAACAAGAGGUGUCAGAAAAGUUACCAUAGGGAUAACUGGCUUGUGGCGGCCAAGCGUUCAUAGCGACGUCGCUUUUUGAUCCUUCGAUGUCGGCUCUUCCUAUCAUUGUGAAGCAAAAUUCACCAAGCGUUGGAUUGUUCACCCAUGCAAGGGAACGUGAGCUGGGUUUAGACCGUCGUGAGACAGGUUAGUUUUACUCUACUAAUGACAAAACGUUGUUGCGACAGCAUUCCUGCGUAGUACGAGAGGAACCGCAGGUACGGACCAAUGGCACAAUACUUUGUUCGAGCGAACAGUGGUAUGACGCUACGUCCGUUGGAUUAUGCCUGAACGCCUUCUAAGGUCGUAUCCGUGCUGGACUGCAAUGAUAAAUAAGGGGCAAUUUGCAUUGUAUGGCUUCUAAACCAUUUAAAGUUUAUAAUUUAUUUAUAAACGACAAUGGAUGUGAUGCCAAUGUAAUUUGUAACAUAGUAAAUUAGGAGGAUCUUCGAUCACCUGAUGCCGCGCUAGUUACAUAUAAAAGCAUUAUUUAAUACAAUGACAAAGCCUAGAAUCAAUUGUAAACGACUUUUGUAACAGGCAAGGUGUUGUAAGUGGUUGAGCAGCUGCCAUACUGCGAUCCACUGAAGCUUAUCCUUUGCUUGAUGAUUCGA